rnacentral:lncRNA from 1 species
AUGUGUUUCAUGGUAGCCAAUCAGAGACAGUUUUUUUACACAGAUGCCAGCACACGUGCCAGCGGCGCCAAACACACACACACACACACACACACACACACCUGCGACGCAACAGCUAAACAGAGAUUCGCAGCUGCAGCAGAGAUGGCGAGCCAGGAGCAAUCCGAUGAAAAGUUGGCAUUUUCAAGGGAUGUAAUAAAGUGCUUGGACUCCGAAACGAUGAGGUUGCAGAAAGGGUGAGCAAAUGUUUUUUUAUUUUAUUUUUUUACAAUGUAAAAUACUUGUCUCUACAAGUGUAUCUUGAAUAUGUGUGUGCAAGUUUUAAUUUUUUUAGUUUACAUUGUGUGAAAAAUAUAAAAAUGUAUAAUUUCUAGCAUAGUAGACUACCAUUCAGAAGUUUAAAUGUUAGUUGUCUAGAAUUCAUCAUAACUAGAAAGAAUGCCAAAAGAAAAAUAAAGCCAAAUCCAGACAUCUUAGGCAAAUUAGACACCCAGGCAGGACAUGUCUGGGAAAAGUGGAUGUAUAAUCAACCUAACAGAGUUUUUGGAGAAAAUACAGAAAGUAAAUCACUAAUAGAUUUGCACUGACCCUGAACUGACUGCUCCAGCAAUUAUUGAGUUAUUGUGUUGAGUUUUGAACUGUGCAGUAUGUUUUUACCAUAGUGUAACUUCUUAUUUGUGUAAAGAUCAAGAGCAUUUUGAUUCUCCAUUUCAUCACCUCUGUAAGUGAUUUUGCCUCUUAAGUGUAUUUAAUUUUUAAAGAUUUUAUGAUAUAUUUUUGUUUUAUGAAAAAAAUGUUGAUUAAGAAUAUAAUAUGAUGCAGUGUACAAUCAGCUACUGUAUACCAUGCAAUGAAGAAAAUUUCACUGUGCACAGUUUAGUUUAAUGUGCAUGUAUGAGAGAACAUACUAUAUAAAAGUACUGUACAUGCCAAGAUCACCUAUUGCCGAUAUUCAAUGCUGAUAUUGUCAUAGCAACCGGCCCACAUCUGGCCCGCAUCAAAUCCAUGCGGGCCAAAUGUGGGCCAGAUCUGGCCCGAAACUGCUUGCUGUCUGGGAAGUUAAGCAUGCAAGUGCUAAUUAUACGGCAACAACAGAAGUACUUGAACACUUGACAAUAUUUUCUUAAGCGAAAAAAGGGAAAAAGGAGCAACAGAUCAAGAAAAAAGGUCCACCUUAUUUGUUUUUAGAAAUUACCAGCAGUGUUUUGAUGACAGCCAGAGCUUGUUAGUUUGCCAUUUUGCUUUCAAUAGGACAAUUUCAGUGACAUGUUAACAUUAUGUUUUCAUUCUGCGUGAUUAUAGGCAGACAUGAUUACAGACUUUAUAAAGAUGUUGUGUUAAAGUGCGUUUCACAACAUACAUAGGCCUAGCCUAUAUGAACGCGCGGACACAUUUGCAGAGUCUUCCCUGAGUCCCUGCCUCCCUGCAGCAGGCCAGGAUGUAUAAAAAAUGGCCUCACAUUCCUUUCCUGUUAAGUCAACCACAAUAUGGGACUGACACACGAGAGGAUUGGACUAUUUCCCAGCACACACAACCCCUCAGGAGUCCCAUUACUUUCAGUCAUUUAGUCAGACGCACACACAAACACACACAUAAUAUGUCCGCGCUGCCUGGUUCACUGCAUGGCUCAUAACUUAUCUGUUAAUCGUAGUCAUCAGCGUCCUCAGCAGGAGUAUCAACAUAGCCAGGCUUACCGUAAGUUCAGGGAAGUCGAAACAUAAGCAUAUCUAGACACGCAGCAGGCGGUUCAGCGGAAUAUUGCUUCCCCAGGGUUACAGUAAGCGAAAUCAGAAGUGAGCAGAUAGAAGAUCACAGAGAUGACCUCAAAUGAAGCUGGUACUGACAGCAGUCUUGAGUGUCAAUUUUUUGCAAUCAAGAUUUAUAAAUCAUCUUAAAUGUGAAUGUGUAAAUAAGCUUUCCAUUGGUAUAUGGUUUAUUAAGAUCGGACAAUAUUUGGUCGAGAUACAACCAUUUGAAAAUCUGGAUUCUGAGGGUGAAAAAAUACGGAGAAAAUCACCUUUAAAUCUGUCCAAAUGAAUUCUUAGCAAUGCAUAUUACUAAUCAAAAAUAAAAAUUGUAUGUAUUUACUGUAGGAAAUUUUAAAAACAUCUACAUGAAACAUGAUCUUUGCUUAAUAUCCUAAUGAUUUUUGGCAUAAAAGAAAAAUCUGUAAUUUUGACUGAUUCAAUGUUUGUUUUUGUUUUUUUGAUUUUUUGGGGGGAUAUUGCUGAAAAUAUACCCCAGCGACUUAAGACUGGUGUUGUGGUACAGGGUCACAAAUAUAUUCACAAAGGCUGUGGAGAGCGCAUGUUUAAUGCUUAAUAUGCAUAAAAAAAUCUUGUUUUGGGAAGAGGUUGGUCAGGAACUUUGUGAACCGGGGGGCUUUGUGUUUUUCACGGGCGUUGGCUUUGACCAAAUGGGGCAUGGACUCACUGACUGCUGCUUUGUUUUGAAAACACAGGGGAGGGAGGAAGAGAAGGAGGAAGGCCUGAACGAGUGUGAAGAAAAGGCGGAGACUUCCCAAAUACCGACCAUAAAAAUAACAUAGCGGGAGAUACCACUCAGAGUGGAGUUGUGAGAAGAUCAGUAGUUCCUCGUGCGUGCAUGUACAUGUAUUAUAAAUAUUAACACAUUUCUUGGAAUCUAAACAGUCUGUGGGGUAAAUCUAUCUUUCUCUGGCCCUUUUGCAAAAACACACACAUCAUUGCUUAUGCUUGGCUGUUUGGUAUGAAUGUGAGUGGAAUUUACCCAUAAUGCUGAAGCAGGAACUAGUAUAAACAAACAGACACAUAUAUUAUUAGGAAACUCUGAUAAGAAGGGAAGUGUUUAUCUCUGAUAAAAUACAUUUUACUGUCAAAAAUGAAUACUCUGAUUCUGUUCCAAACCUGUGUGAACUGUUUUUUGUCCACAGAUUACUAUUAAAUUCAAUAGGGUUCAGUCUUGUUUGGAUGCCACUGACUUUAUCGUUUGUGUUCUGCAGAAGAAAGUCACAGGUUUUGUUGUGACACGAGGGUGAAUAAUGCAAAAGCACAGAUAAGUAAUCCGAGUAUGGUUAUAAACAUGCAUUUAUUUUCCAUUCUGCAAGGAACUGAUAUUCUAUUUGAAUUUUAAUGUGUAACUAUUCAAAUGAAAAAUUAAGGAAGCUAAAGAGACUGGUCAUUGAAAACUUUCCAGGAUCUUCUUUAAUACUAGUAUAUAGUCUGGAUUUAUUUUAUAGUUCAGUUAACUUUCAUUGUAAUAGUUCUUCAAAAUAUCAGAUAGGAAUCCACUGAUAUAACCACACCUUUUCACAUCAGCACUAAUGAUUUAAAAAAUACUUUGAUUGUCAAAUAAAAACGUGGUUAUCUUUUAAUUGCACAAGCACUUUUGUACUUUUAUGAUUAAAAGUCUGCACUGUAAGUCAGAAAUCUUAUCGUGUCAAGCUCUAUUGGGUACACUCAGGACGUUUAUCAAGGCCUAUUGAUUUUUUUUCCACUUAGGCAUUUAAUGGUUUGUGAGUUACAACUUUUACUAUGUGUUAAUUACCCUCUAAUAUGAGGACGGAGAUCUGAUAAAAGCCUUUAGUUAAAUAGAGAGAAAAUUAAUUAAGAGAGUGGCUAAUCAAUUAAAUAAGUGGAAGCAUACAAGAAAUGCACAAUCUGCAAAAAAAAUUGUAUUGUAACCUUAAACAGAGGGGCAAUAUUAAUUAAAAAGAAUAUAUUUAAAAAAUAAAAUGUAAAUAUAAGAGUUGAACAUAUGUGUUGUGUGCAUUUUACUCCCUGAUUUUUCCAGUGAGGAAUGACCAGGAUUAAUCCAUAAAGAUUAUGAAAAAGACUUUGAUGAGGCAGAUGUUUUAACUGAUCAAAAGAGAAAGCAUAGAGUGACAUCCUGUACACAUUACACACACCUCAAGAUAAGCCUCAGACCUGUUUUUCUGAAAACAAGAGCAGUUGUGGCAUCUUCAUCUGUGUAUGUGAUUAUAUAUAUGACUGGAGGAAAAUCUUGUCUGCAGUAAAGGCCACAUUAAAAACCAUGCAUAUUUGAAUUACAUGCAGCCUGAGGCCAGAGAGAAUACCAAUGGCUUUAUACACACAAGAAUGCGAGGCACAUGUCUGGGUCCAUUUUGUAAAAAUAGUGCUCUUUAAUAUAAAUUAUGGAAAUAUCUUAUAAAUAUAAAUAUGUGCAAAGUUUCUUGCUGCAUUUUCUAUGUUAAUGCCUUUGUUUUCUGAUCUUCAAGCUUGCACUGCGGUCAUCAGACCAGACCUUAAGGUGAGACAUCUUUAUAAAAGACAGAGUAAAAAACAUGCUGUCCUGUUGGUGGCCACACAUGUAAACACCUUGAUUUGACAAAAUAUGAACAACAAAAAAAAAUGAAAAGAGUAAAAGAAUCUACAAGUGAAACCAUAAGCCCUUCCAUAGACUCAUAAUACAUUCAUUGAAUAGCAGACGUCAAGUCCUGCUAGUGAAACAAACACUGUGUCGUUGUUAUUGAAUGAGGAUUUGAAGCACACAAAGUACGAAUGCUUCUCCGUGUGAUCAGAGAAGCACGGUCCUUCAUGUCGAACACCACAGUAAAUAAGUUACUAAAGAUUUUUCAUACUGUGCUUGUAUUUGCUUCACAGUAUAUGAAUGACAAUUCAUAUAUACGCUCAUAUCAUUAACAAUGUUCAGCCUGCCUUAUCCUAGCACAAAUGAAACCACUGUUUGCUUUGGCUCCGGUCACGAACAAAGUAACAACAGUCCACUGAGGGGCCGUCUUCUCCAGAGAGGGCUAAGAGAGGUCAAAGGCCUGCGGUAACAGAUAGGAUCAAUACGUUCGCUCUAGUCCUUUUCCUUGACCCCGCACACAGUCACCGUAGCAGACAGUGUCGGUCGUGAGCGGUAAGUAGCCACCCCGUUUGCGCCCCCACGCCCACUUAUGAGGCAAUUACACUUGGCAAGAAGCAGUGGAAAUGUGUACGUCAUCGCAAAUACCCAGCUCUUGCUCCUUCCUUCCAGGAGAAAGUCAAAAAAAAUG